rnacentral:rRNA from 1 species
UACGUAGGGGCCGAGCGUUGUCCGGAGUUAUUGGGCGUAAAGCGCGCGCAGGCGGCCUCGCGCGCCCGACGUGAAAGCCCCCGGCUUAACCGGGGAGGGUCGUUGGGGACGGCGGGGCUUGAGGGCGGGAGAGGGCGGUGGAAUUCCCGGUGUAGUGGUGAAAUGCGUAGAGAUCGUGAGGAACACCAGAGGCGAAGGCGGCUACCUGGACAAUUGCUGACACUCAGGCACGAAAGCGUGGGGAGCAAAAGGG